GUGCCAGCCGCCGCGGUAAUACGGAGGGUGCAAGCGUUGUCCGGAUUUAUUGGGUUUAAAGGGUGCGUAGGCGGCCCAUUAAGUCAGCGGUGAAAGCCCGGGGCUCAACCCCGGAACCGCCGUUGAUACUGGUGGGCUUGAGUAUGGACGAGGUUGGCGGAAUUGAGGGUGUAGCGGUGAAAUGCUUAGAUACCCUCAAGAACACCGAUUGCGUAGGCAGCUAACUAGGCCAUAACUGACGCUGAGGCACGAAAGCGUGGGGAGCGAACAGGAUUAGAUACCCCGGUAGUCC
rnacentral:rRNA from 1 species